rnacentral:rRNA from 1 species
CACCUCUAGCAUAACAAGUAUUAGAGGCAUUGCCUGCCCAGUGACUGUAGUUAAACGGCCGCGGUAUCCUGACCGUGCAAAGGUAGCAUAAUCACUUGUUCCUUAAUUAGGGACUUGUAUGAACGGCUAAACGAGGGUCCAACUGUCUCUUAUUUUUGAUCAGUGAAAUUGACCUUCCAGUGAAGAGGCUGGAAUCCCAAAAUAAGACGAGAAGACCCUAUGGAGCUUAAAUUUGUAAACUUAUACAUGUAUCCUCCAUACACCUAAUGGGGUAAAAAUAAAAGUAAUAAGCUUAAGAUUUUGGUUGGGGUGACCUCGGAGAACAGAAAAUCCUCCGAACGAUUAUAACAUAGACCAACAAGUCAAAGUAAACUAAAUUUCCAAUUGACCCAAAAUAAUUUGAUCAACGGACCAAGUUACCCUAGGGAUAACAGCGCAAUCCUAUUUAAGAGUCCAUAUCGACAAUAGGGUUUACGACCUCGAUGUUGGAUCAGGACAUCCAAAUGGUGCAGAAGCUAUUAAUGGUUCGUUUGUUCAACG